GUUUGGGGCGCCUGGUUGAUUCAGGCUAUAGAGCAUGGGACCCCUGAUCUCCCAGUGGUAUGGUUGGCCAUGUCACACAGUUCAGGACCGAGAUGGAUGUCGUCGGGCUCGAAGGGAAAAAUUAAACUAGAACAAGGCAGAUGGGAUGGAAUUACCUAAUAUUGUCAAAGACCCCAGCUCACACGCUGUUAAACCAGGAACCCAGGUCUCAGGCUUCAAGGUCAGCUUCAAAGCAGCUCUCCUCCCGUGGCCUGGCAGCUGUCCGCGAAACUACACGGAGCCCUCCAGAAACUGUUAUGCACAGGUAUUCCUGAACCCUGUGAACUGUCCUUGGUUGAACCUUUCUCCACUCUGCCGGGCCUGCUAAGCUCUGUUUGAAAAGCUUGCAAUUUAAAGAAGUGAAGAACCAGCAAAUAUAUAGGGUUGAAAAUGAAAAACCUUUUCUCCAGGGCUACACCAAGUCCUGGGGUUAAGACUUGUUAGUGCUGUCCUUUUAAAUAGAUAAAAGACAUUUCAA